GACGAACGCUGGCGGCGUGCUUAACACAUGCAAGUCGAACGAUGAAGCCGGAGCUUGCUCCGGUGGAUUAGUGGCGAACGGGUGAGUAACACGUGAGCAAUCUGCCCUUGACUCUGGGAUAACUGCGGGAAACUGUAGCUAAUACCGGAUACGACACCUUGGGGCAUCCCAGGGUGUGCAAAGAAUUUCGGUCAAGGAUGAGCUCGCGGCCUAUCAGCUAGUUGGUGAGGUAAUGGCUCACCAAGGCGACGACGGGUAGCCGGCCUGAGAGGGUGACCGGCCACACUGGAACUGAGACACGGUCCAGAUUCCUACGGGAGGCAGCAGUGGGGAAUAUUGCACAAUGGGCGAAAGCCUGAUGCAGCAACGCCGCGUGAGGGAUGAAGGCCUUCGGGUUGUAAACCUCUUUUAGCAGGGAAGAAGCGAAAGUGACGGUACCUGCAGAAAAAGCACCGGCUAACUACGUGCCAGCCGCCGCAGUAA
rnacentral:rRNA from 1 species